UUAUAGCUCUAGGAUCGGCCUGUACGGUAUCAGCUAGUUGGUGAGGUAAUGGCUCACCAAGGCAAUGACGCCUAACUGGUUUGAGAGGAUGAUCAGUCACACUGGAACUGAGACACGGUCCAGACUCCUACGGGAGGCAGCAGUGGGGAAUAUUGCACAAUGGGGGAAACCCUGAUGCAGCAACGCCGCGUGGAGGAUGACACAUUUCGGUGCGUAAACUCCUUUUAUAUAGGAAGAUAAUGACGGUACUAUAUGAAUAAGCGCCGGCUAACUCCGUGCCAGCAGCCGCGGUAAUACGGAGGGCGCAAGCGUUACUCGGAAUCACUGGGCGUAAAGAGCGUGUAGGCGGGUUAAUAAGUUUGAAGUGAAAUCCUAUGGCUCAACCAUAGAACUGCUUUGAAAACUGUUAACCUAGAAUAUGGGAGAGGUAGAUGGAAUUUCUGGUGUAGGGGUAAAAUCCGUAGAGAUCAGAAGGAAUACCGAUUGCGAAGGCGAUCUACUGGAACAUUAUUGACGCUGAGACGCGAAAGCGUGGGGAGCAAACAGGAUUAGAUACCCUGGUAGUCCACGCCCUAAACGAUGUACACUAGUUGUUGUGAGGCUAGACCUUGCAGUAAUGCAGUAAACACAUUAAGUGUACCGCCUGGGGAGUACGGUCGCAAGAUUAAAACUCAAAGGAAUAGACGGGGACCCGCACAAGCGGUGGAGCAUGUGGUUUAAUUCGACGAUACGCGAAGAACCUUACCUGGACUUGACAUAGUAAGAACUUUCUAGAGAUAGAUUGGUGUCUGCUUGCAGAAGCUUAUAUACAGGUGCUGCACGGCUGUCGUCAGCUCGUGUCGUGAGAUGUUGGGUUAAGUCCCGCAACGAGCGCAACCCUCGUCGUUAGUUGCUAACAGUUCGGCUGAGAACUCUAACGAGACUGCCUGGGUAACCA
rnacentral:rRNA from 1 species